AUUGAACGCUGGCGGCAGGCCUAACACAUGCAAGUCGAGCGAGCGGCGGACGGGUGAGUAAUGUAUGGGGACUUCCCGAUAGAGGGGGAUAACUACUGGAAACGGGGGCUAAUACCGCAUACUAUUGUAUUACCCAUAUGGGAUUAGCUAGUGGGUGAGGUAAUGGCUCACCUAGGCUACGAUCCCUAGCUGGCCUGAGAGGUUGAUCAGCCACACUGGGACGGAGACACGGCCCAGACUCCUACGGAGGCAGCAGUGGGGAAUAUUGCACAAUGGGCGCAAGCCUGAUGGAGCCAUGCCGCGUGUAUGAAGAAGGCCCUAGGGUUGUAAAGUACUUUCAGUCGGGAGGCGUUACCGACAGAAGAAGCACCGGCUAACUCCGUGCCAGCAGCCGCGGUAAUAC
rnacentral:rRNA from 1 species